rnacentral:rRNA from 1 species
CCGGACCGGCGCACGGGUGAGUAACGCGUAUGCAACUUACCUAUCAGAGGGGAUAACCCGGCGAAAGUCGGACUAAUACCGCAUGAAGCAGGGGCCCCGCAUGGGGAUAUUUGCUAAAGAUUCAUCGCUGAUAGAUAGGCAUGCGUUCCAUUAGGCAGUUGGCGGGGUAACGGCCCACCAAACCGACGAUGGAUAGGGGUUCUGAGAGGAAGGUCCCCCACAUUGGUACUGAGAUACGGACCAA